GCUGCCGUAGUUCAACGGAUAGAACGAGAGUUUCCUAAACUCUAAAUGUAGGUUCAAUUCCUACCGGUGGCA
rfam:Parcubacteria bacterium GW2011_GWA2_49_9 TY50_C0018, whole genome shotgun sequence.